rnacentral:rRNA from 1 species
GACGAACGCUGGCGGCGUGCCUAACACAUGCAAGUCGAACGGAACUGUUUUGAAAGAUUUCUUCGGAAUGAAUUUGAUUUCGUUUAGUGGCGGACGGGUGAGUAACGCGUGAGUAACCUGCCUUCAAGAGGGGAAUAACAUUCUGAAAAGAAUGCUAAUACCGCAUGACAUAUCGGAACCACAUGGUUUUGAUAUCAAAGAUUUUAUCGCUUGAAGAUGGGCUCGCGUCCGAUUAGUUAGUUGGUGAGGUAACGGCUCACCAAGACCGCGAUCGGUAGCCGGACUGAGAGGUUGAACGGCCACAUUGGGACUGAGACACGGCCCAGACUCCUACGGGAGGCAGCAGUGGGGGAUAUUGCGCAAUGGGGGCAACCCUGACGCAGCAACGCCGCGUGAAGGAUGAAGGUUUUCGGAUUGUAAACUUCUUUUAUUAAGGACGAAAAAUGACGGUACUUAAUGAAUAAGCUCCGGCUAACUACGUG